UACGUAGGGCGCAAGCGUUGUCCGGAAUUAUUGGGCGUAAAGAGCUCGUAGGCGGUUUGUCGCGUCUGCUGUGAAACCUAAGGCUCAACCUUGGGCUUGCAGUGGGUACGGGCAGACUAGAGUGCGGUAGGGGUGACUGGAAUUCCUGGUGUAGCGGUGGAAUGCGCAGAUAUCAGGAGGAACACCGAUGGCGAAGGCAGGUC
rnacentral:rRNA from 1 species